rnacentral:rRNA from 1 species
UUAGAGUUUGAUCCUGGCUCAGGAUGAACGCUACCGGCAGGCCUAACACAUGCAAGUCGAACGGUAACAGGAAUUAGCUUGCUAAUUUGCUGACGAGUGGCGCACGGGUGCGUAACGCGUAUACAAUCUACCUUUUGUUGAGGGAUAGCCCACAGAAAUUUGGAUUAAUACCUCAUGGAAUUAUUGAUAGGCAUCUAUUAAUAAUUAAAGGUUACGGCAAAAGAUGAGUAUGCGUCCCAUUACCUAGUUGGCGAGGUAACGGCUCACCAAGGCAACAAUGGGUAGGGGUCCUGAGAGGGAGAUCCCCCACACUGGUACUGAGACACGGACCAGACUCCUACGGGAGGCACCAGUGAGGAAUAUUGGACAAGGGGCGAGAGCCUGAUCCAGCCAUGCCGCGUGCAGGAAGACUGCCCUAUGGGUUGAAAACGGUUUUUAUACAGGAAGAAUAAGCCUUACUUGUAAGGCGAUGACGGUACUGGAAGAAUAAGGACCGGCUAACUCCGUGCAAUCAGCCGCGGGAAUACGGAGGGUCCGAGCGUUAUCCAGAAUUAUUGGGUUUAAAGGGUCCAUAGGAGGAUGAUUCAUUCAGGGGUGAAACUUUGCAGCUCAACUGUAUAAUUG